rnacentral:rRNA from 1 species
CCCUUAGAUGUUCUGGGCCGCACGCGCGCUACACUGACGAAUGAAACGAGCUUAUAACCUUGGCCGAAAGGUCUGGGUAAUCUCCAAAUUUCGUCGUGAUGGGGAUAGAUUAUUGCAAUUAUUAAUCUUCAACGAGGAAUGCCUAGUAAGCGCAAGUCAUCAGCUUGCGUUGAUUACGUCCCUGCCCUUUGUACACACCGCCCGUCGCUCCUACCGAUUGAAUGGUCCGGUGAAGCGUUCGGACCGUGGCCUUUGGACGGUUCGCCGUCUGUUGGCUGCGGGAAGUUCGUUAAACCUUAUCAUUUAGAGGAAGGAGAANUCGUAACA